CGCGAACGUUGGCGGCGUGCCUAACACAUGCAAGUCGAGGGGCAGCAGGCCUGAAUUCUUCGGAAUUUAGGUGCUGGCGACCGGCGAACGGGUGAGUAACGCGUAGCUAAUCUACCCAUAGGACGGGGAUAACCCCCCGAAAGGGGGGCUAAUACCCGAUAAAGAGGAGACUCCAAAGGGGCUUUUAGCCCGCCUAUGGAUGAGGCUGCGUUCCAUCAGCUAGUUGGUGAGGUAAGAGCUCACCAAGGCUACGACGGAUAGCUGGUCUGAGAGGAUGGCCAGCCACAGUGGGACUGAGACACGGCCCGCACCCCCACGGGGGGCAGCAGUGGGGAAUAUUGGGCAAUGGCCGAAAGGCUGACCCAGCAACGCCGCGUGGUGGAAGAAGCCCUUCGGGGUGUAAACACCUGUCAGUGGGGAAGAUAAUGACGGUACCCACAGAGGAAGGGACGGCUAACUACGUGCCAGCAGCCGCGGUAAUACGUA
rnacentral:rRNA from 1 species